rnacentral:rRNA from 1 species
UUGAGACGCGGCAUACGGCUCAGUAACACAUGGUUAACCUACCCUCAGGACGGGGACAAACCCGGGAAACUGGGGCUAAUACCAGAUAGGCGAAGACGCCUGGAAUGGUUCUUCAUCCAAAGGACUUUGGAAGCAUGCUUUCAAAGUCGCCUGGGGAUGGGGCCGCGUCCGAUCAGGUUGUUGGUGAGGUAACGGCUCACCAAGCCUAUAACCGGUACGGGCCGUGAGAGCGGUAGCCUGGAUAUGGGCACUGAGACAAGGGCCCAGGCCCUACGGGGCGCAGCAGUCGCGAAAACUCCGCAAUGCACGAAAGUGUGACGGGGCUACCCCGAGUGCCGUCCGCUGAGGAUGGCUUUUCCUCAGUGUAACUAGCCGGGGGAAUAAGGAGAGGGCAAGACUGGUGUCAGCCGCCGCGGUAAUACCAGCUCUCCGAGUUGUAGGGACGAUUAUUGGGCUUAAAGCGUCCGUAGCUGGCUUAGCAAGUCUCCUGUUAAAUUCAGCGACCUAAUCGUUGAACCGCGGGAGAUACUACUAGGCUAGGAGGCGGGAGAGGUCUACGGUACUUUCGGGGUAGGGGUGAAAUCCUAUAAUCC